UACGUAGGUGGCAAGCGUUAAUCGGAAUACUGGGCGUAAAGCGUGCGCAGGCGGUUAUGUAAGACAGAUGUGAAAUGCCCGGGCUUAACCUGGGAACUGCAUUUGUGACUGCAUGGCUAGAGUUUGGCAGAGGGGGGUAGAAUUCCACGUGUAGCAGUGAAAUGCGUGAGAUAUGUGGAGGAACACCGAUGGCGAAGGCAGCCCCCUGGGUCAAGACUGGACGCUCCAUGCACGAAAGCGUGGGGAGCAAA
rnacentral:rRNA from 1 species